UGGGGUGUCGCCAAGUGGUAAGGCCCGGGACUUUGACUCCCGUAUCGUAGGUUCGAGUCCUGCCACCCCAGCCA
rnacentral:tRNA from 1 species